CGGAGGGUCCAAGCGUUAUCCGGAAUCAUUGGGUUUAAAGGGUCCGUAGGCGGUUUUAUAAGUCAGUGGUGAAAUCUGGUCGCUCAACGAUCAAACGGCCAUUGAUACUGUAAGACUUGAAUUACUUGGAAGUAACUAGAAUAUGUAGUGUAGCGGUGAAAUGCUUAGAGAUUACAUGGAAUACCAAUUGCGAAGGCAGGUUACUACAAGUAUAUUGACGCUGAUGGACGAAAGCGUGGGGAGCGAACAGGAUUAGAUACCCUGGUAGUCCACGCCGUAAACGAUGGAUACUAGCUGUUUGGAGCAAUCUGAGUGGCUAAGCGAAAGUGAUAAGUAUCCCACCUGGGGAGUACGCUCGCAAGAGUG
rnacentral:rRNA from 1 species